GACGAACGCUGGCGGCGUGCUUAACACAUGCAAGUCGAGCGGUAAGGCUCCUUCGGGAGUACACGAGCGGCGAACGGGUGAGUAACACGUGAGCAAUCUGCCCUUCACACGGGGAUAACCCUCGGAAACGAGAGCUAAUACCCGAUACGACCACUUCAGGCAUCUGAUGGUGGUGGAAAGUUCCGGCGGUGAAGGAUGAGCUCGCGGCCCAUCAGCUUGUUGGUGGGGUAACGGCCCACCAAGGCAACGACGGGUAGCCGGCCUGAGAGGGUGACCGGCCACACUGGGACUGAGACACGGCCCAGACUCCUACGGGAGGCAGCAGUGGGGAAUAUUGGACAAUGGGCGAAAGCCUGAUCCAGCAACGCCGCGUGAGGGAUGACGGCCUUCGGGUUGUAAACCUCUUUCAGCAGGGACGAAGCGCAAGUGACGGUACCUGCAGAAGAAGCACCGGCCAACCACGUGCCAGCAGCCGCCGUAA
rnacentral:rRNA from 1 species